rnacentral:lncRNA from 1 species
AUUUACUAUCCAUGUCUAUAGAGAAAGUUUUUUGAUGUCUUUUCUGGGCAAUGUUGAGACUGAAAAAUUUGAGUUGAGAGCUAACAUGAUUGGAUCUCCAAUUCAGGAAUACCUGGAAGUACCAAGGGACACAGCUGCUGCCUGAAUACUCAAUACUGAACUGAAAC